GGCAAGAUGGCCGAGUGGUCUAAGGCGUAGCAUUAAGGCUGCUAUCUUCGGGCGUGGGUUCGAAUCCCACUCUUGUCA